rnacentral:rRNA from 1 species
AGUGGCGGACGGGUGAGUAACACGUAAGAAUUUGCCUUUAGGAGGGGGAUAACAACUGGAAACGGUUGCUAAUACCCCAUAUGCUUUCGAGUGAAAUGGAUUUCCGCCUAAAGAGAAGCUUGCGGCUGAUUAGCUUGUUGGUGAGGUAAUGGCUCACCAAGGCGACGAUCAGUAUCUGGUUUGAGAGGACGAUCAGACACACUGGAACUGAGACACGGUCCAGACUCCUACGGGAGGCAGCAGUGGGGAAUUUUCCGCAAUGGGCGAAAGCCUGACGGAGCAAUACCGCGUGAGGGAUGAAGGCCUAUGGGUUGUAAACCUCUUUUUUCAGGGAGGAACAAAAUGACGUGUACCUGAAGAAUAAGCAUCGGCUAACUCCGUGCCAGCAGCCGCGGUAAGACGGGGGAUGCAAGUGUUAUCCGGAAUCACUGGGCGUAAAGCGUCUGUAGGUGGUUAAGUAAGUCAACUGUUAAAUCUUGAGGCUUAACCUCAAAAUCGCAGUCGAAACUGCUUGACUGGAGUAUAGUAGGGGUAAAGGGAAUUUCCAGUGGAGCGGUGAAAUGCGUAGAUAUUGGAAAGAACACCGAUGGCGAAGGCACUUUACUGGGCUAUUACUAACACUGAGAGACGAAAGCUAGGGUAGCAAAUGGGAUUAGAUACCCCAGUAGUCCUAGCUGUAAACAAUGGUUACUAGAUGUUG